UACAGAGGUCUCAAGCGUUGUUCGGAUUCAUUGGGCGUAAAGGGUGUGUAGGUGGCGCGCUAAGUCGGGUGUGAAAUUUCGGAGCUUAACUCCGAAACUGCAUUCGAUACUGGCGUGCUUGAGGACUGGAGAGGAGACUGGAAUUCAUGGUGUAGCAGUGAAAUGCGUAGAGAUCAUGAGGAAGACCAGUGGCGAAGGCGGGUCUCUGGACAGUUCAUGACACUGAGACACGAAGGCCAGGGGAGCAAACGGG
rnacentral:rRNA from 1 species